GGAAAUUGAAAGGGAGCUAAAAGGGCAGCUCAUGGAGAAGAAAACAGGUUGUUCUUCACUGGGCUCCCAACGGUUUUGGAAACAUCAGCAGCAGGUUUCGUUUAGGAAUUUUCUGAGAGUGAUUCUAGAGUGUCAAGAUUGAGAUAUGUGGAGACAACUGGAGAAAUUCAUUUGACUAUCUUUCAAAUUGGUACAAUCAUAGGAUUGACUGGGAAUUUGCAAACAUUGGUGCAAGGCUAUCCUGUAGCUUUCUAUCUAUUUUCCUCGCUAACAAAUCCUCAAAUUGCUUCAAAAGCAAACUGC
rnacentral:lncRNA from 1 species